GACGAACGCUGGCGGCGUGCCUAAUACAUGCAAGUCGAACGGUCUUUUCUAUGGAAGCUUGCUUCCACUGAGAAGAUAGUGGCGAACGGGUGAGUAACACGUGGGUAACCUGCCCAUAAGAGGGGGAUAACAUCCAGAAACGGGUGCUAAUACCGCAUAGGUUUCUUGAGCGCAUGAUCGAGAAAGGAAAGACGGCCUUUGUGCUGUCGCUUAUGGAUGGACCCGCGGCGUAUUAGUUAGUUGGUGAGGUAACGGCUCACCAAGACGAUGAUACGUAGCCGACCUGAGAGGGUGAUCGGCCACAUUGGGACGGAGACACGGCCCAAACUCCUACGGGAGGCAGCAGUAGGGAAUCUUCCGCAAUGGACGAAAGUCUGACGGAGCAACGCCGCGUGAGUGAAGAAGGUUUUCGGAUCGUAAAACUCUGUUGUCAGAGAAGAACAAGUCGGAGAGUAACUGCUCCGGCCUUGACGGUAUCUGACCAGAAAGCCACGGCUAACUACGUGCCAGCCGCCGCCGUAAAAC
rnacentral:rRNA from 1 species